UUUAAAGAGAGUUUGAUCCUGGCUCAGGACGAACGCUGGCGGCGUGCCUAAUACAUGCAAGUCGAACGAACGGAGGAAGAGCUUGCUCUUCCAAAGUUAGUGGCGGACGGGUGAGUAACACGUGGGCAACCUGCCUGUAAGUUGGGGAUAACUCCGGGAAACCGGGGCUAAUACCGAAUGAUAAAGUGUGGCGCAUGCCACGCUUUUGAAAGAUGGUUUCGGCUAUCGCUUACAGAUGGGCCCGCGGUGCAUUAGCUAGUUGGUAGGGUAAUGGCCUACCAAGGCAACGAUGCAUAGCCGACCUGAGAGGGUGAUCGGCCACACUGGGACUGAGACACGGCCCAGACUCCUACGGGAGGCAGCAGUAGGGAAUCUUCCGCAAUGGACGAAAGUCUGACGGAGCAACGCCGCGUGUAUGAAGAAGGUUUUCGGAUCGUAAAGUACU
rnacentral:rRNA from 2 species